GAUGAACGCUAGCUACAGGCUUAACACAUGCAAGUCGAGGGGCAGCGCAGUGUAGCAAUACAUGGGCGGCGACCGGCGCACGGGUGCGUAACGCGUAUCCAACCUUCCCGUUACUCUCGGAUAGCCUUCCGAAAGGGAGAUUAAUACGAGAUGGUGUUUGAAUUCCGCAUGUUAUUCAAACUAAAGAUUCAUCGGUAACGGAUGGGGAUGCGUGACAUUAGGUAGAUGGCGGGGUAACGGCCCACCAUGCCCACGAUGUCUAGGGGUUCUGAGAGGAAGGUCCCCCACACUGGAACUGAGACACGGUCCAG
rnacentral:rRNA from 1 species